ACGGGUGAGUAAUACAUCGGAACGUGCCCUGUAGUGGGGGAUAACUAGUCGAAAGAUUAGCUAAUACCGCAUACGACCUGAGGGUGAAAGUGGGGGACCGCAAGGCCUCAUGCUAUAGGAGCGGCCGAUGUCUGAUUAGCUAGUUGGUGGGGUAAAGGCCCACCAAGGCGACGAUCAGUAGCUGGUCUGAGAGGACGAUCAGCCACACUGGGACUGAGACACGGCCCAGACUCCUACGGGAGGCAGCAGUGGGGAAUUUUGGACAAUGGGGGCAACCCUGAUCCAGCAAUGCCGCGUGUGUGAAGAAGGCCUUCGGGUUGUAAAGCACUUUUGUCCGGAAAGAAAUCGCACUUACUAAUAUUAGGUGUGGAUGACGGUACCGGAAGAAUAAGGACCGGCUAACUACGUGCCAGCAGCCGCGGUAAUACGUAGGGUCCAAGCGUUAAUCGGAAUUACUGGGCGUAAAGCGUGCGCAGGCGGUUGUGCAAGACCGAUGUGAAAUCCCCAGGCUUAACCUGGGAAUUGCAUUGGUGACUGCACGGCUAGAGUGUGUCAGAGGGGGGUAGAAUUCCACGU
rnacentral:rRNA from 1 species